AUGAUUCGGCCUCCCUCCAACCAUUGUCAUCGUAAAAUACAAGAAAGCACUCGCUUCAAUCCAUAUUUCAAGGAUUGUGUUGGAGCAAUUGAUGGGACUCAUGUGCUUGCUAGAGUCCCAAAAAGUAUCUCAGCUGCCUUUAGGGGUAGAAAGGUGGGGACUACCCAAAAUGUCAUGGCUGCGGUAGACUUUGAUCUAAAGUUUACCUAUGUACUUGCGGGUUGGGAGGGAUCAUCUCAUGAUGCCCUUAUACUUGCAAAUGCAUUGGAGAGGGAAGAUGGGUUGAAAGUUCCUACAUGUAAUAAACUAGGGCCUACUACCUAA
rnacentral:rRNA from 1 species